rnacentral:misc_RNA from 1 species
UUGUGGAGAAGGACGCCGAAGGUGGGGCUGAUGACUGGGGUGAAGUCGUAACAAGGUAGCCGUACCGGAAGGUGCGGCUGGAUCACCUCCUAACAGGGAGACAAUAAAUUGAUUGUGAUGUCUAAGUUUUUUAUUCUUAGGCCGCAAUCCUGUCACCUUAAGGUCGAUCGGUACCUCAGAUUUUAGAAUUAAUUUUAUAAUUUAUUCUUUUAUUUCAGUUCCUAGACUUGUCUAGGUCACACCCAACAAAGGUUUCUCCUGGGCCAUUAGCUCAGGUGGUUAGAGCGCACCCCUGAUAAGGGUGAGGUCCCUGGUUCAAGUCCAGGAUGGCCCAUUCGUUGUUGGGGGUAUAGCUCAGUUGGUAGAGCGCCUGCUUUGCAAGCAGGAUGUCAGCGGUUCGAGUCCGCUUACCUCCACUGAAAACUAUCCUGAUAACUAAAUUUGGAGAAAAAAUUUGUAGAUGUGGCUUAGAAUUGUCUAUUGAAAAGAACCUAGCUUCUUAUCAUCUUAUAUAGUUGAUAACAUGCUGGGCUCCCAUGGAUUAAUUUCAUGAGAAAUCAGUAGAACCUUGAAAACUGCAUAGAUUAGAAAGAAUAAAGCAUCUCAUGGAUGCAUAAUUCUGUUUUGAUAAUUUAGCCUUAAAACUAAUUUAUUAUUAUAAGAAUUCAUGUUUAAUUCUUGAGUAAAAGCCGAGCACAAUUGAUUUUUUGAUUGUAUUAAGGUCAAGCUACAA